AAAAUUUAAAUGAUGACGUUUUCAUACCCAAAACUGAGCAAAAAUGCUGAAUUUUUUCUUAACAUGCACUACCAUCUGAUAUAUUUU
rnacentral:snoRNA from 1 species